GUGAAGCGGCAACAGCUCAAAUUUGAAAUCUGGCGCACGCCCGAGUUGUAAUUUGUAGAGGAUGCUUCUGGGUAGCGACCGGUCUAAGUUCCUUGGAACAGGACGUCAUAGAGGGUGAGAAUCCCGUAUGUGACCGGCCCGCACCCUCCACGUAGCUCCUUCGACGAGUCGAGUUGUUUGGGAAUGCAGCUCUAAAUGGGAGGUAAAUUUCUUCUAAAGCUAAAUACCGGCCAGAGACCGAUAGCGCACAAGUAGAGUGAUCGAAAGAUGAAAAGUACUUUGGAAAGAGAGUUAAAAAGCACGUGAAAUUGUUGAAAGGGAAGCGCCUGCAACUAGACUUCGCGGUGGUGUUCCGCCGGUCUUUUGACCGGUCCAUUCUCCACCGCGAGGCCAUCAUCGUCUGGGCCCGCCGGAUAAGACCUUGGGAAUGUAGCUCACCUUCGGGGGAGUGUUAUAGCCCAGGGUGAUGCGGCGAGGCUCGGGCGAGGUCCGCGCCUCGGCAAGGAUGAUGGCGUAAUGGUUGUCGGCGGCCCGUCUUGAAACACGGACCAAGGAGUCUAACAUCUAUGCGAGUGUUCGGGCGUCAAACCCCUACGCGUAAUGAAAGUGAACGGAGGUGGGAACCGCAAGGUGCACCAUCGACCGAUCCUGAUGUCCUCGGAUGGAUUUGAGUAAGAGCAUAGCUGUUGGGACCCGAAAGAUGGUGAACUAUGCCUGAAUAGGGUGAAGCCAGAGGAAACUCUGGUGGAGGCUCGCAGCGGUUCUGACGUGCAAAUCGAUCGUCAAAUUUGGGUAUAGGGGCG
rnacentral:rRNA from 1 species